rnacentral:rRNA from 1 species
GGGAUUGCCUCAGUAACGGCGAGUGAAGCGGCAACAGCUCAAAUUUGAAAUCUGGUCCUUGCGGCCCGAGUUGUAAUUUGCAGAGGAUGCUUUUGGCGCGGUGCCUUCCAAGUUCCCUGGAACGGGACGCCUUAGAGGGUGAGAGCCCCGUACGGUUGGACACCAAGCCUUUGUAAAGCUCCUUCGACGAGUCGAGUAGUUUGGGAAUGCUGCUCUAAAUGGGAGGUAUAUUUCUUCUAAAGCUAAAUACCGGCCAGAGACCGAUAGCGCACAAGUAGAGUGAUCGAAAGAUGAAAAGCACUUUGAAAAGAGGGUUAAACAGCACGUGAAAUUGUUAAAAGGGAAGCGCUUGUGACCAGACUUGCGCCCGGUGAAUCACCCAGCUCUCGCGGCUGGGGCACUUUGCCGGCUCAGGCCAGCAUCAGCUUGCCGUCGGGGACAAAAGCUUCGGGAACGUAGCUCUCUUCGGGGAGUGUUAUAGCCCGUUGCACAAUACCCUUCGGCGGGCUGAGGUACGCGCUCCGCAAGGAUGCUGGCAUAAUGGUCAUCAGCGACCCGUCUUGAAACACGGACCAAGGAGUCAACCUUAUGUGCGAGUGUUCGGGUGUCAAACCCCUACGCGUAAUGAAAGUGAACGCAGGUGAGAGCUUCGGCGCAUCAUCGACCGAUCCUGAUGUUCUCGGAUGGAUUUGAGUAAGAGCAUAUAGGGUUGGACCCGAAAGAAGGUGAACUAUGCGUGUAUAGGGUGAAGCCAGAGGAAACUCUGGUGGAGGCUCGCAGCGGUUCUGACGUGCAAAUCGAUCGUCAAAUAUGCGCAUGGGGGCGAAAGACUAAUCGAACCUUCUAGUAGCUGGUUU